rnacentral:rRNA from 1 species
UACAGAGGGUGUGAGCGUUAAUCGGAAUUACUGGGCGUAAAGCGUGCGUAGACGGCUAUCUAAGUCGGGUGUGAAAGCCCCGGGCUCAACCUGGGAAUUGCAUUCGAGACUGAAUAGCUAGGGUACGGUAGAGGGAAGUGGAAUUUCCGGUGUAGCGGUGAAAUGCGUAGAUAUCGGAAGGAACAUCAGUGGCGAAAGCGACUUCCUGGACCAGUACCGACGUUCAGGCACGAAAGCGUGGGGAGCAAACAG